rnacentral:rRNA from 1 species
UACAGAGGGGGCAAGCGUUGUUCGGAAUUACUGGGCGUAAGGGGCGCGUAGGCGGCCUGCUAAGUCGAACGUGAAAUCCCCGGGCUCAACCCGGGAACUGCGUCCGAUACUGGCAGGCUUGAAUUCGGGAGAGGGAUGCGGAAUUCCAGGUGUAGCGGUGAAAUGCGUAGAUAUCUGGAGGAACACCGGUGGCGAAGGCGGCAUCCUGGACCGACAUUGACGCUGAGGCGCGAAAGCCAGGGGAGCAAACGGG